rnacentral:lncRNA from 1 species
UAUUAUAGUAGGAUAGAAAAAGUAGAAUGAUUUCUAAUUAUGAUAUAAAAACAUUCCCUAAUUUACAUUAGUGGAUCAUUCUGCAGAACCUAAAUAUGCCAGAUCAUACUCUAUAUGAUAUUAAUAUCUCUCAAAGAUAUAACAAUAAUAAUAGUUGCUGGCCACAAUCAGAAUUGAACCCACUCUUCAAAGUUACCAUCUUGGAGGCUGGAUUUAAUUUGAAGUCUCAUACAUCCAGUUUUUCAGUAGUAGUCCAGACUCAAUGCAUUAUCCCAUCCUUCAAUCUUAUGGUUAACUGCAUCGUGUGUUGGCCAAUCUGUGAUAACUCUAAAAGUUGCUGCUGCCAGAUAUAGUAUAUCCAAUGUUGGUAUGGAAGCUUAACUAAAUAAU